rnacentral:rRNA from 1 species
AAUCAACGCUGGCGGCGUGCCUAACACAUGCAAGUCGAACGCGAAAGGGGACUUCGGUUCCUGAGUAGAGUGGCGUACGGGUGAGUAACGCGUGGGUCAUCUGCCCUCGGGUGGGGAAGUAACUAAUCGAAAGGUUAGCUAAUACCGCAUAACACAGUGAUGUCAAAGCAGGCAAUGUGCCUAGAGGUAGGAGCCUGCGUACUGAUUAGGUAGUUGGUGGGGUUAACGGCCUACCAAGCCUGCGAUCAGUAGCUGGUCUGAGAGGACGGCCAGCCACAAUGGCACUGAAACACGGGCCAUACUCCUACGGGAGGCAGCAGU